rnacentral:lncRNA from 1 species
AGUAUAAAACAGAAUUGUACCAGUAAUAUAUGAUACUGAUUAUACACAUCAACAGAUUAGAAAAAUAUAAUUAUAUAAUUCAUUGUAAAUAUAUCAAAAAAACUAUUUGCAGAUAAGUUAUUCAUAAUAUAUAUAUGUAAGCACAUAAUUAACAUCUAAAUAAACAAUUUAUACAAAAAAAACAAUAACAAAUAACAAAGAUGUUUAUAUAAAAAUUUGCAUAUCACUAAACCAGGAUAAGAGAAUAAAAAUUGUAUACAAGUUUCUAGGAUAAUAUAUAUAUUAUGUAUGUAUUCUUAAAUGUAAAUUUUGAUUACGUACUUGGAAUGUUUUAGAUAGAAUUUGUGUAUUUUGAUUGCUUUUUAAAAAGUUCUUUAAGGAUUCAAGGAAAAUAUAAAGUUCUGUUAACCCUACUGUACAUGUCACCUUUAUAUAUAUACAAUAACAACCUUUUCAUAAUGAGGUUAAAAAUUUAAAAUAAUGUAUUGUAUAAACAUUGGUUUUAACCAAAAAAGAGCACCAUAGCUAUCUUAGACUAAUUUGCUACUAGAGAUUGGCAAUUUCAUUUUAAUGACUGUAUAAUACAUCACAAUAUAUUAUACCAGUGUCUAAAUAUUUUCCAAACAAGUUUUUUUU